UUACGGUCAAAUCACGCUGAAAACACCGGUUCUCGUUCGAUCACCGAAGUUAAGCAUCGUAGAGCCAGGUCAGUACUUAGAUGGGGGACCGCUUGGGAACACCUGAUACUGUAAG
rnacentral:rRNA from 1 species